CUUAUUUUAUUUAAUUUAUUUUUUGGCAUGUAGUCCUCGCUGCAGCUGGCAUGGCCUUGCUAGAGAUCUCAGAGGGCUCGCUAUACUCUGCUGUGGCCAACGUGGGGAAGACUGAAUGAUGGAGAGCCUGUUAUACAAACCACAGGGGAACACUUGCCAUUGUUUCUGCUAUUGUCCCACAGUUGUUUAAGAUGGAAGCAGGAGCCCCUGGAAGCUUUCAGAGAAGAAGCUAGCCAGAAACUCACAAGCCCUUUCCUUGAGAAGCUCUGGCCCCAUCACUGCGGAGUGCUGGCCAUGCUCCCUGGUCACUGCCCAUGGGACGGCCAGCUCCCGGGCAGGUGGUGCUAAGCAGGUUGGCGGGUGUUACCCCUCCCAGUCUCCUCAAGAUUAGAAUCUGUUCCAGGCCACCAGACAGAGCUCCCUGCCAACGCUCUCACUAGAACUGUUCCUGGAUGUGCUUCGAGAGCUGUGGCCAAGCUCUUGUGACAACACCUCCUGGAAUAACAAAGGGAUCCUUUGUGGGCAAUCGGCUCCAGCUAACAGCUUGCGGAUGGCUGGACUCCCUCUGGCAUUUUCUUUUCAAGACAGCCGCCCCCCCAUUCCCAUCCAUUCAGCUCAAGACAAUCUGAGAUCGUACACAGAUAAUUGGGCCAUUUGUUCAACCUGAAGAGAUGAAUGUUCUCCAUGUUAGGGAAGAUGGUCACCAGCAAUCCAACUGGCAACAUUGCAGCUCUGGAAAUGAAGGCAGCUCCACGGUCUCUUCCCCCAUCCCUUGAUUACCCGUGUGGCCACAGGGUGGGGUACAGUGACUAGAGAGUCCACUAGAAUGCCAUGAUUGGAGUGAGGGUACAGCAGUUCCCCAAAGUGGGGCAAUUGAGGUGGCCCUGAAGAGGAAAAAACAACAGACAUCCAGGAGAAAAUCACUGGAGCUUGAGGGGCCUCUAGGAGGACACAUUCUGACCUGGAGACCUGGAGGGCUCCCGUGAGAGGAACAACUGAAAUCUCCAACAACCACAGGCUGAGGAGCUUGGGCUGGGCAGGUUUACAAAGACCACUGCCUCAGAAAGGACCGCGAGCGGUUGAUCUGCAGGCUCUGAGCAUGAGGCAGCAGCAAAUGGACCCUCACUGGGGACACCCAGAGGCCAGGUCCCGUGCAGGACCAGGAGUCAGCAGCCAACCCCUGCUCAUCUGCUGGGGGUCCGUGGUCCGCUAAGCGGCCCCACAGAGGGCCCUCUCCCAUCAGGCUGGCUCUGGGAUGACUGGGUGGUGGCCCUCACAGCAGUAGCUAACAUUCUGGGAACCAGACUCCCUGGGCACUGCCCCACUGCCUCCUGCCAACAGUGCUGUUAUGUGGAUUUUAGGCUUUAGAAUCAGAAACAGGCCCUAAAUUAAGCACAGAAAGAGAGAAAGGGUGGGAGGGAAAGAGAAGAGGAGAGACUGAGGAGAUAAAGGGAGGCAGAGAGAGAAAGUGUUGGAAGGACACGGGACAGUUGAAGGAAAAGACGAACAGCCGCUUUCGGGAUAGACUGGGGCAGGACCAAAGCCUGCUGCUCUGCCGACCCAGGACCAACCCCCUUCAGUCCCUGUGACUGCCCCGGAAGUCCAGUUCCCAGGACUAACGCGGGCCGGUACCUGCCCCUGGGAUCAGGGAUCAGGUUCUGUGAUUGACCACCCCACCAUGCGGAGCUGAGGAGGGGCCACUAACUCAAAGGAAGGGUGAGAAGGAGGGAAGUAUAUUUUGGACAGACAAAACCAGCAGCUCUCAGGCACCACUAGCUCCAUUUUCCAGGUGAGGAGACAGGCUUAGGGAGGGGGCAGGACUUGUCAACAUCACAGUGACAGUGAGUGACAGGACUUCAGCCCAACUAGCUUGACUGCAGUACCACAUCUUAAUCACUGUGUUUGCUCCCCACCCAAUCACGAUGGGUGCCUGGUGGGGACACCUCAUUUGAUCACAAAUCGUAAUUUAACAAAAUAACACAGUGGUUAAGAGUUUGGGGACCUGUUAGAAGGUCACUACAGUCAAACAGGCAAGAGAGGAAAGGACUAGCCUGUCCCAAGACAGUAGAUACGAUGACAGGAGGACAUGAAUCAGUAGAUGCCAGAGAGUGUGAGAAGAAAUCUGUCACGAUUGAGAACUCACAGGACUGGGAAGGGAGGAAGGAGUGGGGUCUACAUUGGCCUCAGGCUUCUGGUUUGGGCAGUGGGUGGAUGGAACUGUCCUUCACUGAGGUGCAAAGCCCAGGAGGAGGAAGCGGUGGCAGUGGAGGUGGGAGAGAGAGGAGUUUCAUUUUGGAAAUGUUGGAUUUGAGGUGCCUGCAGGACACCCAAGUGGAAACGCCCAGUGUUCAGUGGGUCCGUGGGGUGUGGAGCAUGGGAGAGAGCCAUAGGUGGAGCUGGUAUUCCCCCAAUGGCGUGGUAUAGUAUGAGGCUGGCAAAGGCCUGAGGACGGAGCCUGGGCAUCAUGGCAUUUAGGGGCAGGGAAGCCUUCUCAAGUGAGAAAGCAUCAGUAGCUCAUUCUUUCCUUGCAUGAGUCUGAUUCUGUCUGCCUCUUCCUUCCCUGUCUACUCCCCCAACUUUGCCUUACCCAGGUAAGUCAUUGUUUUUUUUUUUUUUUAGAUGAGUUUCACUAUUGUCACUCAGGCUGGAGUACAAUGGCUCAA
rnacentral:lncRNA from 1 species